GGAGGGGUGCGAGCGUUGUUCGGAAUCACUGGGCGUAAAGCGCGUGUAGGGCGGCCCGUUAAGUCUGAUGUGAAAGCCCGGGGGCUCACCCCCGGAAGGGCAUUGGAAACUGGCGGACUAGAGUCUCGGAGAGGAGGGUGGAAUUCCUGGUGUAGCGGUGAAAUGCGUAGAUACCAGGAGGAACACCGGUGGCGAAGGCGGCCCUCUGGACGAUGACUGACGCUGAGACGCGAAAGCGUGGGGAGCAAACAGGAUUAGAUACCCUGGUAGUCCACGCCGUAAACGAUGAGCACUAGGUGUCGCGGGUAUUGACCCCUGCGGUGCCGCCGCUAACGCAUUAAGUGCUCCGCCUGGGGACUACGGCCGCAAGGCUA
rnacentral:rRNA from 1 species